rnacentral:rRNA from 1 species
AGUCGACGAACUUCUUUAUCACCGAGUGCUUGCACUCACCGAUAAAGAGUUGUAGUGGCGAACGGGUGAGUAACACGUGGGCAACCUGCCCAAAAGAGGGGGAUAACACUUGGAAACAGGUGCUAAUACCGCAUAACCAUAGUUACCGCAUGGUAACUAUGUAAAAGGUGGCUAUGCUACCGCUUUUGGAUGGGCCCGCGGCGCAUUAGCUAGUUGGUGGGGUAAAGGCUUACCAAGGCAAUGAUGCGUAGCCGAACUGAGAGGUUGAUCGGCCACAUUGGGACUGAGACACGGCCCAAACUCCUACGGGAGGCAGCAGUAGGGAAUCUUCCACAAUGGGCGAAAGCCUGAUGGAGCAACGCCGCGUGGGUGAAGAAGGUCUUCGGAUCGUAAAACCCUGUUGUUAGAGAAGAAAGUGCGUGAGAGUAACUGUUCACGUUUCGACGGUAUCUAACCAGAAAGCCACGGCUAACUACGUGCCAGCAGCCGCGGUAAUACGUAGGUGGCAAGCGUUAUCCGGAUUUAUUGGGCGUAAAGGGAACGCAGGCGGUCUUUUAAGUCUGAUGUGAAAGCCUUCGGCUUAACCGGAGUAGUGCAUUGGAAACUGGGAGACUUGAGUGCAGAAGAGGAGAGUGGAACUCCAUGUGUAGCGGUGAAAUGCGCAGAUAUAUGGAAGAACACCAGUGGCGAAAGCGGCUCUCUGGUCUGUAACUGACGCUGAGGUUCGAAAGCGUGGGUAGCAAACAGGAUUAGAUACCCUGGUAGUCCACGCCGUAAACGAUGAAUGCUAAGUGUUGGAGGGUUUUCCGCCCUUCAGUGCUG